rnacentral:rRNA from 1 species
AGAGUUUGAUCCUGGCUCAGGAUGAACGCUAGCGGCAGGCUUAACACAUGCAAGUCGAGGGGUAACAGGUAGCAAUACUGCUGACGACCGGCGCACGGGUGAGUAACGCGUAUGCAACCUACCUUUAACUCGAGGAUAGCCCGGAGAAAUUCGGAUUAAUACUCGAUAACAUUGUGAGAAGGCAUCUUUUUGCAAUUAAAGCUCCGGCGGUUAAAGAUGGGCAUGCGUGCCAUUAGCUAGUUGGUAGGGUAAUGGCCUACCAAGGCAACGAUGGCUAGGGGGUCUGAGAGGAUGAUCCCCCACACUGGUACUGAGACACGGACCAGACUCCUACGGGAGGCAGCAGUGAGGAAUAUUGGUCAAUGGGCGCGAGCCUGAACCAGCCAUGCCGCGUGCAGGAUGAAUGUACUAUGUAUUGUAAACUGCUUUUAUACGGGACGAAACCUUCGGACGUGUCCGGAGCUGACGGUACUGUAUGAAUAAGCAUCGGCUAACUCCGUGCCAGCAGCCGCGGUAAUACGGAGGAUGCAAGCGUUAUCCGGAUUCAUUGGGUUUAAAGGGUGUGUAGGCGGAAUAAUAAGUCAGUGGUGAAAUCCUGCGGCUCAACCGUAGAACUGCCAUUGAUACUGUUGUUCUUGAAUACAGUUGAGGUAGGCGGAAUGUAUAAUGUAGCGGUGAAAUGCUUAGAUAUUAUACAGAACACCGAUUGCGAAGGCAGCUUACUAAACUGUUAUUGACGCUGAGGCACGAAAGCGUGGGGAGCAAACAGGAUUAGAUACCCUGGUAGUCCACGCUGUAAACGAUGAUUACUCGUUGUGUGCGAUAUACAGCACGCGACUGAGCGAAAGCAUUAAGUAAUCCACCUGGGGAGUACGAUCGCAAGAUUGAAACUCAAAGGAAUUGACGGGGGCCCGCACAAGCGGAGGAACAUGUGGUUUAAUUCGAUGAUACGCGAGGAACCUUACCUGGGCUUAAAUGCAGAGUGACUGCUGUUGAAAGAUGGCUUUCCUUCGGGACAAUUUGCAAGGUGCUGCAUGGUUGUCGUCAGCUCGUGCCGUGAGGUGUCGGGUUAAGUCCCAUAACGAGCGCAACCCCUAUCAUUAGUUGCCAGCGGAUCAUGCCGGGGACUCUAAUGAGACUGCCACCGUAAGGUGUGAGGAAGGUGGGGAUGACGUCAAAUCAGCACGGCCCUUACGUCCAGGGCUACACACGUGUUACAAUGGCCGGUACAAAGGGCAGCUACUUGGUGACAAGAUGCUAAUCUCUAAACCCGGUCUCAGUUCGGAUUGAAGUCUGCAACUCGACUUCAUGAAGUUGGAUUCGCUAGUAAUCGUAUAUCAGCAACGAUACGGUGAAUACGUUCCCGGGCCUUGUACACACCGCCCGUCAAGCCAUGGAAGCCAGGGGUACCUGAAGUUCGUAACCAAUAAGGAGCGACCU